rnacentral:rRNA from 1 species
GACGAACGCUGGCGGCGUGCUUAACACAUGCAAGUCGAGCGGAAAGGCCACUUCGGUGGUACUCGAGCGGCGAACGGGUGAGUAACACGUGAGUAAUCUGCCCCUGGCUUUGGGAUAGCCACCGGAAGCGGUGAUUAAUACCGGAUAUGACCACUUCUCGCAUGGGAUGGUGGUGGAAAGUUUUUCGGCCAGGGAUGCGCUCGCGGCCUAUCAGCUUGAUGGUGAGGUAAUGGCUCACCAUGGCUUCGACGGGUAGCCGGCCUGAGAGGGUGACCGGUCACACUGGGACUGAGACACGGCCCAGACUCCUACGGGAGGCAGCAGUGGGGAAUAUUGGACAAUGGGCGGAAGCCUGAUCCAGCAACGCCGCGUGAGGGAUGACGGCCUUCGGGUUGUAAACCUCUUUCAGUACCGACGAAGCGCAAGUGACGGUAGGUACAGAAGAAGCACCGGCCAACUACGUGCCAGCCGCCGCAGUAAUAC